ensembl:snRNA U2 U2 spliceosomal RNA
AAAACAUUUUAUAAAAAUAAAAAUCUGUUCUUAUCAGUUUAAUAUCUGAUACGUCCUCUAUAUGAGGACUACAUAUUAAAUUGAUUUUUAGAACAGGGAGACGGAAGAGGAGCUUGCUCCGUCCGCUCCACGCAUCGACCCGGUAUUGCAGUACCUCCGGGAACGGUGCACCUCCU